AAGGGAAAAGUGUGAAAAUUCAAGUAAUCAAGCAAUCAAAGGUGGUGAGCCCUCUAACAAAGGUAAAGAUGUUGUAUCAGAGGAUUGAGAAUAGGAGUAUUUCAAACUCUUGAUACAGCUCAGGAUAGUCAGUAGAUAGCUCAUUUCGUUGAGGGCUACAGUUGGAUUUGCAUCCUCCAAACUGUAGGUUCACAAUCUUUCUUACUUUUAGUUAUUCGAGAGCCUACUAGUUAUUGUAAAUUAAAUUAAAUACUCUGGCCUACUGUAUUACAGUAUGUAUGAAUUUAUUUUGCUUUU